AAAUCAGUCAUUGCAGGUGUGCAGAAGCUGCCUCUGUUCUUUCCAGCACCAGUGGAGGCUGAGGUGCUGGCUCCUCAAAUAGGGCGGGGCUUGAAUAAAUGAUAGGCCUCCAGGAUGGAUGAGCUUCAGCAAAUGAUGGAGCUCCAUUUGGAAGCAUUUAAUGCAGAUCUGGUUAAUUGUUAUGGAUUUUUCCAGCAAGUAAAAGCCUUUGGAGUUUGGAAAGAGCAGGCUUUGUUUUUUCUCCUAAAGAAAACCAGCUCCGGUGCUUCUGCCUAGAGACACAGGCCUUGGGAAACUGUCGCUAUCAAGGAGAGAAGUGGGCCUCUGCUGAGCCUGGAAAUGCUUCUGGGCCUGGGUGGCUGUGUGGUCCUGCAGACAAGACCGGCCUUCCUUAUCUGCUCAGGCACGAGUUGUCAGGCACCACCCAGGGUGACACUGUUACUGGGUUGUGGAUAAGGAAGGAGCCUGUUCACAGUGACUCCCAGCCCAGGGAAGGGUCAGAGUCUCUUGAUCUUGCUGGAAUUUACAUAUAUACAACUUCCAAGUACUCAGGGCAUCACUGAGUUUCAAAAGUCUGUGGCUUCAUAGACACAACAGCUUCUUCAUUUGCAGGUUGGAGAUAAAAACGACCCCCAGAAUUGCUGUCAGGAAUAGCCUACGAAGUACCUAAAACACAACACGAAGCCUGGCGCUGGGUGUUAUCAUAACUACACUCUCUGGGCUGUUUCAGCUCUUUCCAUCUGGAAAGUGGGCUCCUCGAGGGAAGAGGGGUGACUUUGACUUCCUCUUCACCAAGGCCACAAGCUUGGCAAACUGUGAUUUUUGGUAAGGAGUGAAUGAAUAAAUGAGUCAAUGAGCGGAAUUGUGACAGCUGCUGAUACAUAGUAACCUCAAUCUUUACAGUGUAAGAUUUUAACCCCUGAUUAGGUAAAUCUCCCUGAACUU
ensembl:lncRNA